rnacentral:rRNA from 1 species
GACGAACGCUGGCGGCGUGCUUAACACAUGCAAGUCGAACGGAAAGGCCCUGCUUUUGUGGGGUGCUCGAGUGGCGAACGGGUGAGUAACACGUGAGUAACCUGCCCUUGACUUUGGGAUAACUUCAGGAAACUGGGGCUAAUACCGGAUAGGAGCUCCUGCUGCAUGGUGGGGGUUGGAAAGUUUCGGCGGUUGGGGAUGGACUCGCGGCUUAUCAGCUUGUUGGUGGGGUAGUGGCUUACCAAGGCUUUGACGGGUAGCCGGCCUGAGAGGGUGACCGGGCACGGUGGGACUGAGAUGCGGCCCAGACUCCAACGGGAGGGAGCAGUGGGGAAUAUGGCGCAAUAGGCGGAAGCCUGAGGCAGCAACGCCGCGUGCGAGAUGAAGGCCUUCAGGGUGUAAACCGCUUUCGCCUGUGACGGAGCGUGAGUGACGGUAAUGGGUAAAGAAGCACCGGCUAACUACGU